GCCGAGACUAGAGUCACAUCCUGACAUGGUACUUGUCCUGGUGUGCUAGAGUUCUCGAAGAUAAUCUGCUGGUCUUGAUUCACUGGUGGGGGCCUUCAGUGGCCCUAUUAGUGCCUAGAUCAGAAACAGGG
ensembl:snoRNA